UUUGCAAAAGUUAGUUCCUCUGGUGAAUACUCGUCUAACGUGCGCAGCUUAGCAGUGAAAACUCAAAGAAGGAAUAAAUUUUGAAAGAAAACUUCCUAUAAAAGUGAACCAAAGGAUACUUGAAGAUCAUUUUAGAGGACAAAAUGAAGAUCUUCCUUCUAGGCAUUCUAAUCAUAAUCUCUGUAAGAAAUUUGAGUGGACACGAAAUGAAAAAAUACAAGAGUUAUACUUAUGAGGAUCAUGAGGACCAUGAAAACCAAGAAUCACUAAGGGACAAUGUCUUAAAUACUUUUUGUGGUAUGAGAUCGCUUUUCCAACAAUUAACGUGUCCCAUAUAUAGUUUUAUCAUGACUGAGCGAUGUUGUAAAAAGGCUCUAGAAAAAUGUUGCAAUAUUGGUAAUUUAGUUCAGGCUAAAUGUCUUAAAAAUAUAGGAUGUAUUGAACUACCUGUAACGUAAGAAUAAACAUCUUGUGAAGUCAAUAAAAUGAAAAUUAAAGAAAGAAUAUUGAGAAUUUUAAAUUAUUUUGUAUUUUGUGGAGAACCAUUUCUAAGAUUUGUUAAGUACUAAAAAAUUAGUAUUUUGGACCUCCUAGCCAAUAUGCCUUUCGCUCCGUUAAGGAGAAACUUUGGUAUUAUAACUAUUUAUUCAUAUAAUGAUCUGAGAAUCUCCCAAAACAAGGUUAAAAUCAGUAAAAUUUAAUUCCAUUGGUCCAGAAGAAUAGUCCAGGAUAGUAAAAUAAGGAAUUUCUACAGAAUUCAAUUAACUUUAUUCAAAAACCUUUUUGAAGCAGGGGACUGAUAAGACUCUUUUUUAGUCGAACUUCGCAAUAUUUCAGAUGGCUUGAAAAGAGAAAAAAAUAUAAAUUUAUAGCGAAAUAUUAACAAAAUUUGAGGUAAGAAACGUUCAAAGCGAAAUUAAAUUUGCUUAUCACUAGAUGGGAUAGUUUGUCUUGAAGGAAAAAAAUGUCGUCAUUUUAUUUCCAAAAAAAAAAAACGCAUCGAUAUUUUUUUUAAAUUGAUUUAAGUGCAUUAAUCUUCGUUAAACCCUCCUCAAAAGUCAUCAUUCGAUAGAAUAUUAAAUUAUCUAUUCAGUUGUGGUAGAUUUUUUCAAAUUGAGGAAUUUUUCUGGAUGUCUCAGAGGUCGAAAGUCGAGAGAUCAUAUCAUGUUUUCCUAUGGAAAUGGAGUCUUUGUCAGGCCCUUGUUUUAAAGUACAAAAACUAUUUAAAAUAAGUUCUUUGUGUUAAGUUCGUGAGUUUCAUGCACGUUCUAUAAAGCAAAAAAAAUUAUUUAAUUUUUGUUCUAAAAUUUUUUUUGUUCUUUCGUGAUCAGCGUCAGUAAAGCCGAUAUUCUUUGUUAAUUUUUUUUUAAUGUAAAACGUGUAAAUCGAUCACAUUUCUUAUUACAAUUUAAAAAAAAAUUAUAAAAGCAAAAUAAUAAAAUAUUUAUCGUGAUCUUCCGAUCGUGUGAUCAUGAAAUGAAGAAAAUCCAACAACUAAGUCUUUUAGUUGUUUUAAAUAGUCGAUAAAGUUAACAACGUUUCACAAAAAAAGUAAAGAAAAAAACGGAGAACAAAGAAAAAGAAUGAAGAUCAUUUUAGUGAUCCUCACCAUUGUCUUGGCUGUUGGUCUUUUAACUGCAUCUCCAGAAGAAGUUUGGAAGGAAAAUUGGAAGAAAUCUAAAGGAUAUCACGAAUAUGGAGACAAGAAAGAUUAUAAACCAAGUGAAAAACAUAAAGGAAAAGGAAAUAAAGCAGAAAAUAGUAAUAAAAGUGACAUCCUCGGAAUCUGCAUUCUCGCACUUCCCAUUGCAACAGGAUGUCCUAUUGUCGCACCAUUUGGUAUAACAACAACAGAAUGCUGCGAGGAGGCGAUUAAUCUAUGUUGCCCAACACUCUGGAACAUCUUACACCUUUCCUGCAUUCUUACAAUUGAUUGCCUAACAUAUCUAAUUGAACCUGAUCUCCUUACGGGUUUGUUGGAAAAUGGUGGUGAAUAAAGAAGAAAUGUCUUACAAAAAAAUCGUCUAAUUUGAUAAUGAUCCUGAAUUGUAAAAAUUGCAAAUAAAAGAAAAUUUUCUACUCACAAA